rnacentral:rRNA from 1 species
UACAGAGACUGCAAGCGUUAUUCGGAUUCACUGGGCGUAAAGGGUGCGCAGGCGGCCAAGUGUGUCAGGUGUGAAAUCCCGAGGCUUAACCUCGGAACUGCGCCUGAAACUACUUGGCUAGAGUACUGGAGAGGGUAACGGAAUUCACGGUGUAGCAGUGAAAUGCGUAGAUAUCAGGAGGAACACCUGUGGCGAAAGCGGCUCACUGGACCAUAACUGACGCUGAUGCACGAAAGCUAGGGGAGCAAACAGG